AGCUAUGGCUAUGCCACCCUGAACGUGCCCAAUUUUGUCUGAUCUCGGAAGCUAAGCAGUGUUGGGUCUGGUUAGUACUUGGAUGGGAGACCACCUAGGAAUAUCAGGUGCUGAAGGCU
rnacentral:rRNA from 1 species